rnacentral:tRNA from 1 species
GACAGUGUGGUGUAGAGGAUAACACACUAGGCUGGAAUCAGUAGGACAGGUACGACCCUGUCAGUGUCC